UACGUAGGGUGCGAGCGUUGUCCGGAAUCACUGGGCGUAAAGGGUGCGUAGGCGGGUCUUUAAGUCAGGGGUGAAAUCCUGGAGCUCAACUCCAGAACUGCCUUUGAUACUGAAGAUCUUGAGUUCGGGAGAGGUGAGUGGAACUGCGAGUGUAGAGGUGAAAUUCGUAGAUAUUCGCAAGAACACCAGUGGCGAAGGCGGCUCACUGGUCCGGUACUGACGCUGAGGUGCGAAAGCGUGGGGAGCAAACAGGG
rnacentral:rRNA from 1 species